AGCCUGGAACUUAGCGAAGACGCAUACGUUUUCGAACAAAAUAGAUGAAAACAACUCAGAGAGUUCCAAAAACCAGUGUUGAUUGUUUGGAUGCGAUGGUCGGAGACCAGUUACGGAAUAAUCACAGUAAUCAAGCAAUCUCUACGGAAGCCAUCAUUCACAACUAUAAAUCAGCUCAAAUUAGACAGAGUGUGCUGGUGGGUGAGCGUGGCAGGUGGGAUAGCACGU